rnacentral:rRNA from 1 species
AGAGUUUGAUCAUGGCUCAGAACGAACGCUGGCGGCAGGCCUAACACAUGCAAGUCGAACGCUCCAGCAAUGGAGAGUGGCAGACGGGUGAGUAACACGUGGGAACCUUCCCUUUGGUUCGGAAUAGCCCAGGGAAACUUGGGGUAAUACCGGAUAAGCCCUUACGGGGAAAGAUUUAUCGCCGAAGGAUGGGCCCGCGUCGGAUUAGCUAGUUGGUGGGGUAACGGCCUACCAAGGCGACGAUCCGUAGCUGGUCUGAGAGGAUGAUCAGCCACACUGGGACUGAGACACGGCCCAGACUCCUACGGGAGGCAGCAGUGGGGAAUAUUGGACAAUGGGCGCAAGCCUGAUCCAGCCAUGCCGCGUGAGUGACGAAGGCCUUAGGGUUGUAAAGCUCUUUUGGCGGGGAAGAUAAUGACGGUACCCGCAGAAUAAGCUCCGGCUAACUUCGUGCCAGCAGCCGCGGUA